AGAAGAAGAAGAAGAAGAAAGGAGGGAUGAUGAUUGGUGGUUACAGAAGGGUGAGGAGAUGGAAGGAGAUUGGAUCGGAGAAGGCCUCACGGGCGAAGCAAUAGGAGUCGAUCGCCGAUCGGAAUCGAGAUCGGGAACAGAGGAGUGUGGCGGCCAUCUCCGAGAUGAUGACGGUGGUGAGAUGGUUCUGCGUUUGUGUCAGCGUCGUGUCUCUUAUUAUUGUUAUUGGAUAGAAGAAGAAGAGCAUCUCCUCCAUUCAUCAACCAUCCACCAUUGCUUUUAGACAACGACCGAUGAAGAAGCUUCAAUUUCGCCACCAAAUUUCACAAAUAUCAACAAAAAUCAAUUUCUCUCUCUCUCUCGAAACCCUAAAAACAGAUUGAGGAUUUGAUCUUUGUUCAACUUUU